GACGAACGCUGGCGGCGUGCUUAACACAUGCAAGUCGAACGGAAAGGCCCUGCUUUUGUGGGGUGCUCGAGUGGCGAACGGGUGAGUAACACGUGAGUAACCUGCCCUUGACUUUGGGAUAACUUCGGGAAACUGGGGCUAAUACCGGAUAGGAGCUCCUGCUGCAUGGUGGGGGUUGGAAAGUUUCGGCGGUUGGGGAUGGACUCGCGGCUUAUCAGCUUGUUGGUGGGGUAGUGGCUUACCAAGGCUUUGACGGGUAGCCGGCCUGAGAGGGUGACCGGCCACAUUGGGACUGAGAUACGGCCCAGACUCCUACGGGAGGCAGCAGUGGGGAAUAUUGCACAAUGGGCGGAAGCCUGAGGCAGCAACGCCGCGUGCGGGAUGACGGCCUUCGGGUUGUAAACCGCUUUCGCCUGUGACGAGGCGUGAGUGACGGUAAUGGGUAAAGAAGCACCGGCUAACUACGUG
rnacentral:rRNA from 1 species